UACUAGAGUAGCACUCGCAUAUCAAUAGCGGAGGAAAAGAAACUAACAAGGAUUCCCCUAGUAACGGCGAGUGAAGCGGGAAGAGCUCAAAUUUGAAAUCUUAAAGGGUUUCCCUUUACGAAUUGUAGUUUAAAGAAGUGUUUUCUGUUGAGGUUUUGGUAAAAGUUCUUUGGAAUAGGACAUCAUAGAGGGUGAGAAUCCCGUAUUUGACCUUUACUUUCAACUUUGUGAUACACUUUCAAAGAGUCGGAUUGUUUGGGAAUGCAGUCCAAAAUGGGUGGUAAAUUUCAUCUAAAGCUAAAUAUUGGCGAGAGACCGAUAGCGAACAAGUACCGUGAGGGAAAGAUGAAAAGAACUUUGAAAAGAGAGUUAAACAGUACGUGAAAUUGUCAAAAGGGAAGCGUUUGACACCAGUGUUGUUUUUCUGAAAAUCAAUUAAAGAACUGUUUAUGCUAAGCUGUUUAGACUUUAUCAGCUAUCUGUUUAGUUUUGAGCUUUUCUUUAAUGCACUUUUCAGUUAACAAGUCAACAUCAAUUUCUUUUGCUGUAAAAAAGCUUGAGGAAGGUGGCUUGAGAUUCGUCUUAAGUGUUUAUAGCCUCUUGCCUAUGCAGUCGGAGAGAUUGAGGUCUGCAGCGUAGAUCCUUCGGGGCUAAAUGCAUUUGUGCUAAGUUAUAGCAUUUUAUAGACAACUUGUUGACUAUGAUUUGUCUUGUAGCUUACUCGCUUAUGUUAUUUUACCUACGCUUAGGAUGUUGAGCGCAUGUCUCUCUCU
rnacentral:rRNA from 1 species